rnacentral:snRNA from 1 species
AUACUUACCUGGCAGGGGAGAUACCAUGAUCAAGAAGGUGGUUCACCCAGGGCGAGGCUCGGCCAUUGCACUCCGGCUGUGCUGACCCCUGCGAAUUCCCCAAAUGUGGGAAUCUCGACUGCAUAAUUUCUGGUAGUGAGGGACUGCGUUCGCGCUCUCCCCUG